GUGACGAGACGGGCUGGAGCUAGCUGGUGAGCGUGCUAACGUCAGUAGAAGAAAAGACGUGAUAGAGGCAAGAGUUAGCAUUAGCGUUGCUUUCCACCUCUGGAUACAGCUCUUGGUUGAAACUAAAGAGGACUGACACGGUAACCACAGCACAGAAGAACAGGGACGGACACAAAGGAGAGCAAGAGAAAAAAGCAAGUGAUGGAAGCUGUCUUCAGUGAAAAAGCUCCACAAACCUACAGUGCACUACCUGCUCAGAACACAACGGACACAGUUAUCGACUGGCGGGUGAACACAGCGGAGCGUUUGGCAUCUAAAAAGCCAAAGACCAAAAACAUGACAAGAUGGGAAAAAGAUGAAGAUUAUAAUUGUAUCAUAUAAACAGUACAUACUGGAGAGAGGCUGCUGCAUGUCUUAAUGUUGCAUGUAUAGUGAAAAGGUACUACUUUGUCAAAUUAAAUUUAAAG